CGGUGGAGUGGUGAGGACACUGGACUCCCGCACUCCAACUUCGAAUGGUCCUCCUUGGGUGAAGACCCUAGUUUCAUGUCAGGAGUGAACUAAGGCAUCUCUGCUGGUUCCACUAGGAGUGUAUUGAAUUGAGAUUCCUUGCUUGCCUUGCCUUGGCAUAUCUGCUGAUAUGACAGCACUCAGUAAACACCUUUUACUGAGGAUACACCUCGAAAAAUUAGAGAUAAGGAAACAAGCCUUAAAAACAGUGACUUUGCUCAAGGUCAGAAGCAAGCAGUACAAGGGCUCAAUCCAUGGUUGAAAUGGUAGAUUUCACUUGUAAAUGGAAAGACUCAAUCAGUCUGUGUAAAGCAACUUCUCCAUGGGAUGCCAAGAGCCUUCAAACUGAUUUCAUUUUCAACCUACCUGUUCACUGCCAUUUCAGAAAAAUGAGAAAAAAAGCUGUGUGGUGGAACAAGCCCUUAAUUCCAGCACUCUGGAGGCAGAGGUGGGUGGUAGGCUGAGUCCAAGUCCUGCUUGGACCACCUAUCAAGUUCCAGAUCAUCCAGGGCUUUGUAAUGAGACCUUGUCUAAUAAUAAUAAUUAAUAAAUAAUAAUGGGGAAAGAUUGACAACUUUUUAGGCUGCAGCAACUUUAAGUAUCCAAUUUUACAUUCCAACGAACUAUUACUAUCCCCAAUUUUAACAUGGUGACAUUUAGUUCAGGAGUGCGUCGCUGUCAACGGUAACAAUUCAUGUCAAGCUACAUCUUCUUCCUUCAUAAUGUAGUUAGUUGCCGCCUUCAUUUAGAUGACAUUUGUGACAUUAUGACUCAACCCACACAUCAAAGGGAAAUGAUAUAUGUUGGUAAAACAUUACUUCUAGGAAUAAAAGGAAAAACCCACACCUCUGUUACUGGAAAUGAGAGGCGUCUUUGCUUGUAUUAAUAAAGACACUACUUUACAAAGAUCAGUAUGGAAGCUAUUGCAUUCCUUUAGCAAAGGAGCCCUGUCAGAGGCUGCUGACGGCAGCGCUGGGAUCCCAAAGCAGCUGUGCAGGUGGUUUUGCCAUUGUCCAGUCUUUAAGUCAUUAUUUCGAGACAGUUUGCUUCCCUUUCUCCCUGUAUCUAUUUAUUUUUUGCUUAAUAGAAAAUGUAAUGAGUCUUGACACAUUCUUAGACUCUCAGAGUUGUUUCCUACAUUCAGUUGGUUUUUCUCAGACCACCUGAUAUUCCUUCCUGGCUCUUAACACAGUUUGUACUUUAUUUUUAUCUUUGUGUUUAUCUCAUGAUGUGCAUCUUCUCUAGAAAAUAAGACUAUACUGCCAUUGUACUUAAAAACAAAUUUAGU